GACGUAGGGCGCGAGCGUUGUCCGGAUUUAUUGGGCGUAAAGAGCUCGUAGGCGGCUCGUUGCGUCGGCUGUGAAAACCCGCAGCUCAACUGUGGGCUUGCAGCUGAUACGGGCGGGCUGGGAUUCGGUAGGGGAGACUGGAAUUCCUGGUGUAGCGGUGAAAUGCGUAGAUAUCUGGAGGAACACCGGUGGCGAAGGCGGCAUCCUGGACCAACACUGACACUGAGGAGCGAAAGCCAGGGGAGCAAACGGG
rnacentral:rRNA from 1 species